rnacentral:tRNA from 1 species
GGGUGUGUAGCUCAGUGGUAGAGCACGUCACUGAUAAUGACGGGGUCGGAAGUUCGAUCCUUCCCACACCCACCA